rnacentral:rRNA from 1 species
UACGGAGGGUGCAAGCGUUAUCCGGAUUCACUGGGUUUAAAGGGUGCGUAGGUGGGUUGAUAAGUCAGUGGUGAAAUCCCCGAGCUUAACUUGGGAACUGCCAUUGAUACUAUUGAUCUUGAAUACCGUGGAGGUCAGCGGAAUAUGUCAUGUAGCGGUGAAAUGCUUAGAUAUGACAUAGAACACCAGUGGCGAAGGCGGCUUCCUGGCCUGUUCUUGACGCUGGAGGCGCGAAAGCUAGGGGAGCAAACGGGA